CAGAUCAAACUGAUAACGCAAUAUAUGCUGAUAUUAUAGACAACACAAUAAUUAAAGAUACAAGAUCAAACAGUCAGGUAAACCCAAUAUCCAUCUAUGAGACUGUCAAUGAUCUGGUUAUCCCAAGAUUGAACAAGCCACAGACUCUGUAUGACAAGAUCGCAUUUGGACGCCCAGAAGGCCCCCCUUGUCCCUACCAGAAAGUACUGUGAGCUGAACAGGAUGUGGUCAUAGGCUGGGCCUACCAUAGAUUUAGAACCCUCUGCAUCUUACACGUGUAUAUUCUGUAGAUAGGCCUAAUGUUCCUGUAAAAUUUCAUCACAACCUACACUAUUUGCUUUAUUUCCUUCUCCCUUUGAUGAUUCUCAUAUACAGUGA